rnacentral:rRNA from 1 species
AGAAUUCGCCCUUCUGCAGAGUUUGAUCCUGGCUCAGGAUGAACGCUGGCGGCAUGCUAACACAUGCAAGUCGAACGGACACCUUCGGGUGUCAGUGGCGAACGGGUGAGUAACGCGUAGGAAUCUACCCCUGGGAGGGGGAUAACAGCUGGAAACGGCUGCUAAUACCCCAUACAGGCGCAAGUGAAAGGAGCAAUCCGCCCAGGGAUGAGCCUGCGUCGGAUUAGCUAGUUGGUGGGGUAAUGGCCUACCAAGGCGACGAUCCGUAGCGGGUCUGAGAGGAUGGGCCGCCACACUGGGACUGAGACACGGCCCAGGACUCCUACGGGAGGCAGCAGUGGGGAAUUUUCCGCAAUGGGCGAAAGCUGCACGGUGCAAUGCCGCGUGAGGGCAGAGGGCCUUCGGGUCGUA